rnacentral:rRNA from 1 species
CGGUGAACACGGAGCUUGCUCUGUGGGAUCAGUGGCGAACGGGUGAGUAACACGUGAGCAACCUGCCCCUGACUCUGGGAUAAGCGCUGGAAACGGCGUCUAAUACUGGAUAUGUGACGUGACCGCAUGGUCUGCGUCUGGAAAGAAUUUCGGUUGGGGAUGGGCUCGCGGCCUAUCAGCUUGUUGGUGAGGUAAUGGCUCACCAAGGCGUCGACGGGUAGCCGGCCUGAGAGGGUGACCGGCCACACUGGGACUGAGACACGGCCCAGACUCCUACGGGAGGCAGCAGUGGGGAAUAUUGCACAAUGGGCGCAAGCCUGAUGCAGCAACGCCGCGUGAGGGACGACGGCCUUCGGGUUGUAAACCUCUUUUAGCAGGGAAGAAGCGAAAGUGACGGUACCUGCAGAAAAAGCGCCGGCUAACUACGUGCCAGCAGCCGCGGUAAUACGUAGGGCGCAAGCGUUAUCCGGAAUUAUUGGGCGUAAAGAGCUCGUAGGCGGUUUGUCGCGUCUGCUGUGAAAUCCGGAGGCUCAACCUCCGGCCUGCAGUGGGUACGGGCAGACUAGAGUGCGGUAGGGGAGAUUGGAAUUCCUGGUGUAGCGGUGGAAUGCGCAGAUAUCAGGAGGAACACCGAUGGCGAAGGCAGAUCUCUGGGCCGUAACUGACGCUGAGGAGCGAAAGGGUGGGGAGCAAACAGGCUUAGAUACCCUGGUAGUCCACCCCGUAAACGUUGGGAACUAGUUGUGGGGUCCAUUCCACGGAUUCCGUGACGCAGCUAACGCAUUAAGUUCCCCGCCUGGGGAGUACGGCCGCAAGGCUAAAACUCAAAGGAAUUGACGGGGACCCGCACAAGCGGCGGAGCAUGCGGAUUAAUUCGAUGCAACGCGAAGAACCUUACCAAGGCUUGACAUAUACGAGAACGGGCCAGAAAUGGUCAACUCUUUGGACACUCGUAAACAGGUGGUGCAUGGUUGUCGUCAGCUCGUGUCGUGAGAUGUUGGUUAAGUCCCGCAACGAGCGCAACCCUCGUUCUAUGUUGCCAGCACGUAAUGGUGGGAACUCAUGGGAUACUGCCGGGGUCAACUCGGAAGAAGGUGGGGAUGACGUCAAAUCAUCAUGCCCCUUAGGUUUGGGCUUCACGCAUGCUACAUGGCCGGUACAAAGGGCNNNAUACGCGAGGGGGAGGAAUCCCAAAAGCCGGUCCNNUUCGGAUGAGGUCGCAAUNGACCUCUUGAAUUCGAAUCCU